UACGUAGGGUGCAAGCGUUAAUCGGAAUUACUGGGCGUAAAGCGUGCGCAGGCGGUUGUGCAAGACCGAUGUGAAAUCCCCGGGCUUAACCUGGGAAUGGCAUUGGUGACUGCACGGCUAGAGUGUGUCAGAGGGGGGUAGAAUUCCACGUGUAGCAGUGAAAUGCGUAGAGAUGUGGAGGAAUACCGAUGGCGAAGGCAGCCCCCUGGGAUAACACUGACGCUCAUGCACGAAAGCGUGGGAAGCAAACAGG
rnacentral:rRNA from 1 species